GAAGGGAUAUUACUUCUACCUUACUGAUGAAUAAAAGGUGUUCGUCAGCCUUAAGAUAGUCUUUUUGAAAAAAGAGUUUCUUAGAGAAGGAACUAAUACCUCUAAGGUUGGACUUGAUGAAGUUCAACAGGUAGAAGAACCGACAAAAUUUAGUGAACUCACGGAACAAGAUUUGAUUAGAUCAAAUCCAGAGCCCAUUGUAGACACACCAUUAAGG
rnacentral:lncRNA from 1 species